GCCUCCGUAGCUUAGCAGCUAUAGCGGCGGUUUUGUAGCAAUUGCAAAAGAACCGCAGGUCGAGGGUGCAACUCCCUCCGGAGGCU
rnacentral:tRNA from 1 species